AGUAGACGUUCAGAGUUUGAUCCUGGCUCAGGAUGAACGCUGGCGGCGUGCCUAACACAUGCAAGUCGAACGGAGUAUCUUAUAUAGACUUUCUUCGGAGAUGAAAUAUUAGAUACUUAGUGGCGGACGAGUGAGUAACGCGUGGGUAACCUACCUCAUACAGGGGGAUAACAACCGGAAACGGCUGCUAAAACCGCAUAACAAAGACUAAUCGCAUGAUUAAUCUUCAAAUAUUUCAUAGGUAUGAGAUGGGCCCGCGUCUGAUUAGCUAGUUGGUGAGAUAAAAGCCCACCAAGGCGACGAUCAGUAGCCGGCUUGAGAGAGUGACCGGCCACAUUGGGACUGAGACACGGCCCAA
rnacentral:rRNA from 1 species